GAAAUGCGAUAAGUAAUGUGAAUUGCAGAAUUCAGUGAAUCAUCGAAUCUUUGAACGCAUAUUGCGCCCUUUGGCAUUCCGAAGGGCAUACCUGUUCGAGCGUCAUUACACCCCUCAAGUCAAACUUUUUGGUUAACUUGGUGUUGGGCCUUGCCGGAAGGCAUGCCUAAAAAUUAGCGAUGGUACGUUAAACCACGGACGCACAAAUGUCGUUACGUAGGGGCACGGCACCAGUCUAAUGAUUAAUUUCUCAAUGUUGACCUCGGAUCAGGUAGGAAUACCCGCUGAGUUUAA
rnacentral:misc_RNA from 1 species